CCUCUAUAAGAAAAAUAGGAUUUAGAUCAUAGUUUGAGAUUAUUAUAUUUUUCGAAUCAGCUGACUAAGUCUGUCAUUACUCUUCCUCUAGAUUAACGCCAUUAAGGGCAUUGGGGGAAUUCAGAUAUUCCUCAAUGGGGUCAUCAUGGAAUUUCUAAGGAGUAUGAUUCCUUAUUUCUGCUGUAUCGAACUCUGAGAUGGCCUAUUCUGGCAUGGAAGGAUCAUUAGUCUAGAAGAUUCCUAGAUAUGCAUGGUCUCCAUUAAGAACACCAUGCUUGAUGGAAUCCCAGUCCUCAUCUAGUGGUACUUCAUCUUUGAUCUAUAGGUCACUAUCUAGGACUAAAGCAUCUAUUUCUGAAAAUAUAUCAUCAUGUGGUGGAUUGGUAGACACUAAGUUCAUCAUAUUAGUAUCAUGUGGGGCCUUCAUUCUUUUGGAUUGUGCUUGUGUCCCUUCGUCUUACUGGAAGUCUACUAUGGCUUAUUUUUUUUCAUAAGAAUCUAGGAAGGUUAGAUCUCUGCUCAUCUUCUUGAGUUGGACUGAGUAGCUCAGGGGGUAUAUGUUCUUAACGGGGAAGUGAAAAAGGGUUGGUGUAACUUUUGUGGUGAUGUGGUACGUACGACAUAUGCUAGGACCUUUUGUGGAUUCGUGGUGUCGUAUCUCAAUAGGGCAGUCUAUUCUUCAAGUGAUGCCAUCUCCAUUCUUUUGGAAUAUGUUUUGGCAUCUGCAGAGUGAUAAAAAGUUCUUUUGGAUUCAUAAGGAUAUGCUGGUUAAGGGUUGUCACAACAAAGUAUUCCUUAACUUCUUCUGGCCUGUUCUGAUGCAAAGAAUCAAUCUGCAUCCAUGUAAAAGAAUCAAUCUGCAUCCAUAGAUUACAUGUUUUUUUUGAAAAGUCAGAGUACGAGUUAGGUAGGGGUAGAUGUGCGAAACAGAUAUCUUGUUCAGGUUGCAACACAUCUACUUCAUAGAGAUAGUCAUCUUUACAUCACAAAGUUCUAUGAGGGGUUGGAAACAUGGCUAACUUAGGCCAAAACUUAUAUGGAUCGAUCAAAGUAGAUGAAGCUGGUGAAUAAUUAGAGAAAGACAUAUUUUUGUUUUUUUAGACUAUAAAGACUCGAUUAUUUAUACUAAAGAUUUAGGGAAAACACUCAAUAAAAUCUUUUUGUAUUUUUGUGGACUAUAAAACUAGAUAUAUUUGUUCUAAAAUCUAAGAAAAGUAACUCCGACUCAAUUAUAUACAAGACGCAGGAUAUGAUAACUGGAAAUACACUGACUCUGAUAAUGGAAUCACUAUGACUCUAUUAUUUAUAGGACUUUGGUAAUAAUAACUAGAAAGUAAAGACUACAGAUCUAAGACUAACAGCUAAGACAAAGUAAAGUAAAGACUAAACUAAAAAUAAAAUGUAAUCAAAGCUUCUGUCGACACCAUAAACACCGGGACUAACAUUUCCAACAUGAUAGGCAAUUUCACAUCCAUAUAGGCGGUACGCCAUAUGAAAUUAAAGCUUUUUAUUGACACACCAUAGCUUUCUUAUGAUUGAUCUAUGCAUCCACGGAUGGAUGGUUUGCCUUGGUAACAAAGACUUUGCAACCCUCAGCGGGAUAGCUUGACUUUGCCAGUCUUAAAACACAUGAAAUCUUUUGUCUCCUUAGUACAAGAAUGUUCGGUAUAUGGAAUAAAUGGGUCUUACGGCGACUCUGCCUGGUCUAUUUCCCUCAAGCAUCUGGGAAACAAAGGUGUACUAAGACAGACCUCAGAUCUACACGUUUUUUCUAAGAUAACGAAUCAAAUUAGAAAGCUAUAGUUCAGACUAAGCCAAUUUCAUUUCAUAUGCAUGGAAAAGAUUUAGACAUCUACAUUGCCUGGAUGAAGCCGACUUCGUUUCAUAUCCAUGGAAAGUACCUUUGGAGUUCCAUGUUGCAAUCACAAUAAGUACUUGCCAAAGUAUUCCCUUACCCCACCACUCCAUCCUAAAGGAUUGAAGUACCCAUACCUUUGUAAGGAAGAAAAUAAGAGAGAGAGUUUAGCCAACAUAUAUCUUUAUUGAUAGAGUGAAACAUUACAAGAGGUUAUUAGGUAGAGAGGAUGAUUCCCUCUAACUAAAGGCCUAUGCUUUCUUUUAUAGGAAAGGAAGCUCUACUGAUAAACUUGAAAUAAAAUAUCCUAUCUCUAUCUUUUAAGAGAUAAACUUUAUCUAUUAUGACUAGAUAAGCCAUACCUUUUUUAAGAGAGAAGCUUUAUGUGUUAUGAUUAGAUAAGCCUAAUCUUUGUCACAAACUUCUAAGCUUCUCUUCAUUAAUCUGGUGAAUUAAAUCUUUAUGUUGGAUGAAUCUUCAUAUUACUGUAGGGGAGAUUUCAUCCGUAUACAUUUGAUGAAGUCUGUGGCUUCAUCUCUUGUGAUCUCAUUCGGUGGCUGAUAUUUU
rnacentral:lncRNA from 1 species